UACGUAGGGGGCAAGCGUUAUCCGGAAUCAUUGGGCGUAAAGCGCGUGUAGGCGGCCAUGUAAGUCCGCUCUGAAAGCCCGGGGCUCAACCCCGGGAGGCGGGUGGAAACUACAUGGCUAGAGUAUGGAAGAGGCAAGUGGAAUUCCUGGUGUAGCGGUGAAAUGCGCAGAUAUCAGGAGGAACACCAAUAGCGAAGGCAGCUUGCUGGUACAUUACUGACGCUGAGACGCGAAAGCGUGGGGAGCAAACAGG
rnacentral:rRNA from 1 species